rnacentral:rRNA from 1 species
CUCAAAGGAAUUGACGGGGCCCCGCACAAGCAGCGGAGCAUGCGGCUUAAUUCGACGCAACGCGAAGAACCUUACCAAGGCUUGACAUAUACAGGAAUAUGGCAGAGAUGUCAUAGCCGAAAGGUCUGUAUACAGGUGGUGCAUGGUUGUCGUCAGCUCGUGUCGUGAGAUGUUGGGUUAAGUCCCGCAACGAGCGCAACCCUCGUUCUGUGUUGCCAGCAUUUAGUUGGGGACUCACAGGAGACUGCCGGGGUUAACUCGGAGGAAGGUGGGGAUGACGUCAAAUCAUCAUGCCCCUUAUGUCUUGGGCUGCACGCAUGCUACAAUGGCUGGUACAAACGGCUGCAAUACCGCAAGGUGGAGCGAAUCCGAGAAAGCCAGUCUCAGUUCGGAUUGGGGUCUGCAACUCGACCCCAUGAAGUCGGAGUUGCUAGUAAUCGUAGAUCUGCAACGCUACGGUGAAUACGUUCCCGGGGCUUGUACACACCGCCCGUCACGUCACGAAAGUCGGUAACACCCGAAGUCAGUGCCC